UUCAUGCCUGUUAUCCCAGCACUUUGGGAGGCUGAGGCGGGAGGAUUGCUUGAGCCCAGGAGAUUGAGGCUGCAUGAGCCAUAAUUGAGCCACUGAACUUCAGCAUGGGCGACAGAGCAAGACGCUGUCUCCAAAAAAAAAAAG